AGGGUUCGAUUAUGGCUCAGAACGUACGCUGGCGGCACGCCUAACACAUGCAAGUCGAACGAAGUAGCAAUACUUAGUGGCAGACGGGUGAGUAACAUGUGGGUAUCUGCCCUUUGGCCUGGAAUAACACGAGGAAACUUGUGCUAAUACCGGAUAAGUCUUUACGGAGAAAGCUUUAUGCACCAUUGGAUGAGCCUGCACUUGAUUAGUUUGUUGGUGGGGUAAUGGCCUACCAAGACUGUGAUCAAUAGCUGAUUUGAGAGGAUGAUCAGCCACAUUGGGACUGAGACACGGCCCAAACUCCUACGGGAGGCAGCAGUGGGGAAUCUUGCACAAUGGAGGAAACUCUGAUGCAGCGAUGCCGCGUGAGUGAAGAAGGCCUUUGGGUUGUAAAGCUCUUUCGUCGGGGAAGAAAAUGACUGUACCCGAAUAAGAAGGUCCGGCUAACUUCGUGCCAGCCGCCGCGGUAAUAC
rnacentral:rRNA from 1 species